CACACCUUGGACGACCAAAUAUAGACCACGCACCCACACCUUGGAGGAUCCAGUAAGGACCACGACCCCCACACCUUAUUGGACCCAAUAUACACCACGCCCGGAGAUAGCAACAUCUGCGGAUGCUGGUGUCAGAGAAGUGUGGACCUAAAGGAACACAGCAGGUCAGGCAACAUCAGAGGAGUAGGUAAAUCGACGUCUCGGGCCUAGACCAUGCAGCGGGAUGAAGGUCCUGAGAAGGGUCUAGGCCCGAAUUGUUGAUUUAUGGAAUACACCCCUUCACCAUGGAGGACCCUGUAAAGACCAAAGACCACGCCCCUUCGUCCAAAUAUAGACCCUGCCCCAGAUCUUGGAGGAGGACCCACUAAAGACCACGACUCCCCCAACACACUUUGGAGGAGCCACUAAAGACCACACCUCCAUCACCUUGGAGGACCCAAUGUAGACCCUGUACCCCACACCUUGGAGGACCCAAUAUAGACCACGCCCCUAAGGCUUAGACGCCCCAUUGUUACCCAGGCCCCAGUCCUUGGACGACCCAAUGUGCACGCCCCCUUCAGCUUUGGAGGACCCAGUUCAACAUCGCCCCCCACAAUCCUUGGAGGUCUGCGUAUAGACCACGCCCCCACUCCCUGGAGGACCCCGUAAAGACCACGCCCCCAGGCCUUGGAGGACUCACAAAGCGCCGCCCCCUGCGACGACCACCUCCCCCCCACCAAAGGAGCAAUUGUGUGUUUCAAAAACAAAAAUAUAGACUUUAAUGCAGAAAAGGUGACGGUUGGAGAAACCGGAAGUCCGGCCGCCUCGCGCUUCCUUUUUCAAACAAUAACGACCGUUACGGGUUCUUUAUUUUUAAAAAAAAAGUGAACGCAGCCUGCACAGACAGGGGCGAUCUACAUCGGAUGGCGUCAACCCACGUUUAAUGUUGCAGACUAGCUGGUUUUCUUCAGCAUGUCCAAGUGAAGGCAAUGGCCUAGUGGUAUUGUCACUGGACUGUUAACCCAGAGACCCAGAUCAUGUUCUGGGGACCCCGGAUAGAAUCCUGCCAUGGCACAUGGUGGAAUUUGAAUUCAGCAAAAUAUCUGGAAUUAAGGAUCUAAUGAUGACCAUGAAUCGAUUGCUGAUUGUCAGGAAAAACCCAUCUGGUUCACUAAUGUCCUUCAGGGAAGGAAACUGCCAUCCUUACCUGUCUGGCCUACAUCCACAGCAAUGUCGUUGACUCUUAAGUGCCCUCUGGGCAAUUAGGGAAGGGCAAUAAAUGCUGCCUAGCCAGUGAUUGCCUCAUCUGGUGAAUUAAUAAAGGAAAUUAGCUGUUAUAGGCUACAGUGAG